CACAACUCUGGCUAUUUUAGUCUGUGUCACUGCUUGGAGUUGUAAUUAAGUUGCAUGAUCUGAAAUAUCAUAAUUAUGAAAAUUUUGGUAUUUGAUAAGAAUAACUUAUAUUCAGUCUUACCAAGAAAGUCAUGGAACAUUUAGCAGAAGGGCAAAAAAAAUCUAUACAGUGCCAGCAAAUAUCUCACAUAGAAGCAGACAGCUGAAGCCUCCAGAGGGCUUAACUUGUCCUUGAAUUUUCAGAUACACUGGGCAAGUUAGCAUUUUCUUAAUGCUAUCAUUGAGCCUAAAGAGGAGUUUCCUAAUACUGCUUGUACAAGUGUGAAGAAAGCCAGCAAGUAUAAAGUUCUAUGGGCUUCUCUGGUGGCUCAAUGGUUAAGAAUCUACCUGCAAUGCAAGAGGCACAGAUUCCAUCUCUGGGUCAGGAAGCACCCCUGGAGAAGAAAAUGGCGAGCCACUCCAAUAUUCUUGCCUGAGAAGUUUCAUGGACAGAGGAACCUGGUUGUCUACUGUCAUGGGGUUACAAAAAUGUUGGACUUGACUUAGCAACUAAACAGCAUCAGCAACAAUUAAGUGCUGCAAAGAAUAAAUUUAAAAAAAAAACAGUAAGAAAAAAAGGAGGGCAUAAUAAG
ensembl:lncRNA